CGGGUUGUCAUGCCAAUGGCACUGCCCGGUAGCUAAAUGCGGAAGAGAUAAGUGCUGAAAGCAUCUAAGCACGAAACUUGCCCCGAGAUGAGUUCUCCCUGACUCCUUGAGAGUCCUGAAGGAACGUUGAAGACGACGACGUUGAUAGGCCGGGUGUGUAAGCGCAGCGAUGCGUUGAGCUAACCGGUACUAAUGAACCGUGAGGCUUAACCUU
rnacentral:rRNA from 1 species